rnacentral:lncRNA from 1 species
GUGGCUGAGAGGUAUCAGCGUCCAUGCUCGUGGGUCCUGUCCAGCGAGGAGGAGCGCUUCUGCAGGGUUGUGACUUUGUGAACAUGCUUGAGUGCUCCACCAAGUGCAUGGACCACAUCGUCCUACCCUUCAACACCCACAGCAAGGCAGACACCUCCCUAGUUUUCAUCAAGACCCUCAGAAACAAUGACAAUAAGGGUUAUGUUGAGUGAGACUCACUGGAUUGAGACACAGCAGCUGAUGGGGUGGGGCACUGUGGUUGCUGGUGAAGCCCAUAGACACCCCAAGGUGGUCCAAGUCUACGUCAAUUGGUUCUGGUCUGCCAACCAGGGGCUCUUCCGAGACAGGAGAGCAGAAUCCUUUCAGAGAUACUAGUCUGCCCUGAAAUGCCACCCAUAGGAUGUCCAGUGACCCGGUGAGUGGCCAGGCUGGCUGAGGUCCAGGCCUGCAUUAUCCAUUCCUUCAAAAAGAUUUCCAAAGUCUCAGGGACACGGUAAGUGUCUGAAGAUGGUCAUUGUUCUGGGCCUUCGGGAAAUGCAGUGACUCUAACAGACCCAGCACUUCAGAAAGUUUCAGGCCUUGGAGUCCGAGAUGCACAGAUGAUCGUGCAGAACCACUGGCACACCCCCCCACCGCCGCCGCCAUCUCUGCACCUGCCCAGGUAUCUUGGUGACCAAGUGGAGGAGAGUGUGUGUGUAGGGGAGAGGACCAGAAGAAUCUGCAACUUUGGGAAGACAGCACGACAUGUCUCCAGAGGAAGUUGCAGCUGUCACUUAGGGGCCAGGAGAGAGUGGGUUGAAGACAAGGCCUGGGGUCAGCCUUGUCCACUGCUCCCCAUUGCCUUGGGACCAAGUGCCUAUGCUAUGAAACCUUACAGUUGCUUAUGUUGUACCUCCCGUUUCUCAAUAAAGUUCUCUGGAACCAUUUCUGUAGUAAUUACCUCUGUGUGGCUGGUCUUGUUUGCCUCUGUGCCUGUGAGAAAGACACCAUGACCAAAAGCAGUUUGGGGAGAAAAGGGUUUAUUGCAGCUUACAGCUGGUCAUCCCUCAUCAGGGGAAGCCAAGGUAGGAACCUGAUGGCAAGAACUGAUGCAGAGACCACAGAAGGAUGCUGCUUACUGACUUGUUCUCCCCAGCUUUUCAGUUUGCUUUGUUUUUCAAGACAGUGUUUCUCUGUGUAGCUUUGAAGCCCUAUCUACACAUAAAUUUUUUUUAAAUGUCAGUUUUCUUGUUUUAAACACACAUUUAAAAAAAAUUAUGUGUGUGGAUAUUUGUCUUGCAUGUAAGUCUGUGCAGCACAUGUAUGCAGUGUUUGUGAGCUGCCAUGUGAGUGUCAGGAAUUGAAACUAGGUCCCCUGGGAAAGCAGACCGUGAUCUUAGCCACUGAGCCAUCUCUCCAGGCCCUCAGCUUGCUUUUUUUUUGUGCAACAGGCUCAACUGCCCACAGGUGGUACCACCCAUAGUGGGCUGGACCCUCCUACAUCAAUGUCAGUCAAGAAAGUGCCCUACAGGCUUCCCUGCUGGCCACUCUGAGGGAAACUGCUCCUCAACUGACAUUCCCUUUCCCUAGAUGACUCUGGUUUGUGUCAAAUUGACAAAAAAAAGCUACCCAACACAGUGGCUGUGACUAAAAUUACUUCAGGGGGCUGGAGAAAUGGCUCAGUGAAUAAAGUGUUAGCCAAACAAACA